GUGUAAUUUUAUCCUGCUGAAUGCAAUUCUUCUUUCAAUAGAUUCAGAUGACGCUGACUCCCUACAAUGAAACUUAAUUUCCCUUACGGGAUGAAGUGCAACUUGGGGAAAAUCUAAUAUCAAAUUUUGAGUUUCGUCUGCUAUUAAAGCACCGUUUAUCCCUACAAAUUGUCCUCCAAGAAAUGCAUAAGAUGUUGAAACCAUGCAGAACACAAUGGUGUAGGGUGUCGUUUCAUUUAAAGAACAGACACAUGCGUCUCUUUUAUAAAAGAACGACAUUAGUUGGAAGUACACAAAAGGAUUGUGGAACAUAGAAUUGUGUUGUGCCCCGGAUUGUGCGGUUGUUCUAAUAAUGCUGGGUUUUCGUAAGUUGAAAUAAAAGGCGAAUGAGAAAACAACCCUUUGGGCAAUUAUAACGAGAUGGUGGAAAAUACAAUGGGAAAGCGAAAACGUUUGGAAAUAGAAGUAGUUGUGAAUUACGGUUUCUACUAAGGGAAC